CCAUGAUUCAGCGGCGGACGGGUGAGUAAUGCCUAGGAAUCUGCCUGGUAGUGGGGGACAACGUUUCGAAAGGAACGCUAAUACCGCAUACGUCCUACGGGAGAAAGUGGGGGAUCUUCGGACCUCACGCUAUCAGAUGAGCCUAGGUCGGAUUAGCUAGUUGGUGAGGUAAAGGCUCACCAAGGCGACGAUCCGUAACUGGUCUGAGAGGAUGAUCAGUCACACUGGAACUGAGACACGGUCCAGACUCCUACGGGAGGCAGCAGUGGGGAAUAUUGGACAAUGGGCGAAAGCCUGAUCCAGCCAUGCCGCGUGUGUGAAGAAGGUCUUCGGAUUGUAAAGCACUUUAAGUUGGGAGGAAGGGCAGUAAGUUAAUACCUUGCUGUUUUGACGUUACCAACAGAAUAAGCACCGGCUAACUUCGUGCCAGCAGCCGCGGUAAUACGAAGGGUGCAAGCGUUAAUCGGAAUUACUGGGCGUAAAGCGCGCGUAGGUGGUUCGUUAAGUUGGAUGUGAAAGCCCCGGGCUCAACCUGGGAACUGCAUCCAAAACUGGCGAGCUAGAGUAUGGCAGAGGGUGGUGGAAUUUCCUGUGUAGCGGUGAAAUGCGUAGAUAUAGGAAGGAACACCAGUGGCGAAGGCGACCACCU
rnacentral:rRNA from 1 species